rnacentral:rRNA from 1 species
UACGGAGGGAGCUAGCGUUGUUCGGAAUUACUGGGCGUAAAGCGCACGUAGGCGGCUUUGUAAGUUAGAGGUGAAAGCCCGGGGCUCAACCCCGGAAUUGCCUUUAAGACUGCAUCGCUUGAAUCCGGGAGAGGUGAGUGGAAUUCCGAGUGUAGAGGUGAAAUUCGUAGAUAUUCGGAAGAACACCAGUGGCGAAGGCGGCUCACUGGACCGGUAUUGACGCUGAGGUGACGAAAGGCGUGGGGGAGCAAACAGG